UGUCCCACCUGGGAAGGGCAGGGGCGUUUCCUUCCCGAUGAGACUUGAAGCUGUCACCUCUCAGUCUCGGUUUGGAAUAAAUACACUGGCCCACCCGAGGGGAGGCGGCGCCGUGCCUGGACACACCUGGGAGGUACCUGGUCGCACCUGGGAGAUACCUAGCCGCACCUGGAGGCACCUGGCCGCACCUGGAGGAUCCGAUCACUGUGACCGACUGGGAGGCCGACCCAGGAGUGCCCGGCGGGGUGGAGGGUCUGGAGACUGUAAUUGGGGGACUCAAGAGAGAAGUUCCGGCCCGAGGAGCAGCAAUGUCCACGGAAUCGGCCAUAAAGGAUCAAAGGGGCCAGAUAGGCCCCUAUUUCUGGCCACAUCUGAGACUUCUUCCGGCCCAUGGAUGUUACCCAGUGUACACAGCACUUAAUAUAAAGAGCAUCACUAAGGCCACCUCAAAUGAAGGUUUCUUUCCUCAGGCACCUUGGGUGACUUUCUUCUGUUACACCACGUCUCCUCACUGCCAAACUCCACCCCAACCCUGUUGAUUAAAAAUACACAAUUUACAGCUGCUUAAAGCAACUUUUUAGUUGGAACAGCUGAAAAUACAUUGCACAGUUCUAAAGUGAUGGAGCUGACAUUCCAAGCUUCCCAGAAAAACCGCUUCAUCGCCUCAGUUACAUGUCAACAGUGACAAUAAUGGUGCAGUCUUGUUUCAUUCCAAUAUCUAAGCAUGGAUUGAGUAUUCUUUCCAUGUACCCGCAGUUGUCAGCCUUCUUUGCAGCUCUUUGGGCCAGGUUCCCUGGAGCUGGGGGAAGGCAUGGGCAGUUGGUGUCUUCCCUGCUUCUGCUUCUGUCUGCCUCUUGGAAGCUUUGGAAGCCAAGGCUCUUGGGUUGGCUGGGUUGCUGGGUCCACCAAGCACUUUCUGAGCUCCAUUCUUUUUUUUUUUUUUCCCCUCCAAAGCACUUUAGUUUCAGAAAGGAAAGGACACCAAAAAUAGGCCUUUCCUGUGCAGAUGUCCAAUAACCUCGGUGUGGGGACCAAAUGCCCCCCAGCCAUUGGAAACACAGAUCUUGUAAGUUCUAUUCAUCGGGGCACUCACCCAUUCAUUCGUGUUUAUCGAGGGCCUGCUCGGUGUUGGGACAGUUGAGGAUGACAUUCCUGCCAUCAUGCUGAGCUCCAUUCCUAUAGACCUCUUCUUCCUUGUAGUUCUUUCUGUUUCCUCCUUGCUCAUAGGGUCUCCUGGCCCUUCCUUUACUCUUCUGUUUAUUUUAGCAACUCUGUAGUCUGCUUUCUAGAAUGACUACAUGAGGGAGUUCCUUUAUCUUCUUACAGCUUCAACCCCUGGCCUUGGCAACACUGGGCUUACCUGGAUGCUCCAGGGUCCAACCCUGUCACCACAUUACCUUGACCCACAGUGUCUAGCAGGUUCCAGGAAGCUGGCAUCCUCUGUUGGCAAGUCCCAGCUGGGUUCUGCUUACAAAUUAAGAUUCUUAAGAAGUUGAGUCUAUUUACUCUUCCAGAGACACAGCCUAAUUUCCACGUUAGUCUCAGUUUCUACUCAGGAUACUGCCACUCUGAAGGAAGGCUGUGGAGCUGGAAAUUUGAAUAAGACAAAAUGGUUGUCUUUAGAUGAUAGAGUGCCUUGUAGAUUCCCAGAGCUCGUCUCGACCUUAGACAUCCUCUAGU
rnacentral:lncRNA from 1 species